rnacentral:lncRNA from 1 species
AGGUACUAAGAUCUACUAUUUAGAUUCUAAAUUUUACUUACAAUAAAAAUAAAUAAUAGAAUUUAAAAGUAUAUAAAAAUAAAUUGAUAAUAAGAUCUACUAACUAGAUCCUAGCAUCUAUUUAGGAUAAAAAUAAAAAUAAAAAUUUAAAAGUACAAAAAAUAAAUUUUUUAUUAAUUAAAAUUAAAAUUUAAUUAUAAAAAAUUAAAAAUAAUAAUAAAAUAAAAUAAAACUGUAACAA